AUCGUGCCCUGUCAGCCCCCAUUGUGCCCUGUCAGCCCCCAUCGUGCCCUGUCAGCCCCCAUCGUGCCCUGUCAGCCCUCAUCGUGCCCUGUCAGCCCCCAUCGUGCCCUGUCAGCCCCCAUCGUGCCCUGUCAGCCCCCAUCGUGCCCUGUCAGCCCCCAUCGUGCCCUGUCAGCCCCCAUCAUGCCCUGUCAGCCCCCAUCGUGCCCUGUCAGCCCCCAUCGUGCCCUGUCAGCCCUCAUCGUGCCCUGUCAGCCCCCACUGUGCCCUGCCGCUGGGCUGGGUGCAGCUUUGCACAGCAGACAUGUGGGCAGACAUGGGCUGGUAAAGAGCAGGAGUUGGAGUGGGAUCUGAUUUUGAAGUAUUGCAGAAUAACAAGAGGUUGGGAAGGGAUUUACCCCUCCUGUCAGCUUCCCGCCCAUGUGCUGUAUCUGAGCUUGACCCCAGAGAAAACCAGCCAAGGUCCUGAGUGGGAAAGGCUGGAUAGGGCUGAAGAGAAAGAGUGCAGGUAUUUUAGAGGUGUUCCAGUUGAAAGGAAGACUGAGGAAGAAGAGGAACAUGGCAUAAGCUGGAACAGAAAUAGCAAGAAAGUAAAAUGCGGAGGGGGAAGUUCAACAAGCUGUAGAACAGAAAAACAUAUGGAUGAUUUACUGCAAGAGUAGAACGUGCUAUGUAAGUCGAAGUGUCAAAGGAAGCUGUAGAAGCAAAUAGCUGGAAUGUGCUACAAGUGUGUGAGAGGCCUGGAGCCACUGAACAGUGCAAUGAGGCAGGAGCGGUGGAUGGAAACUGGUACCACUCAGUGCAUUAAAUGAAAAAUCUGCCAAAUCA